rnacentral:sRNA from 1 species
GAUUGGAAGGCUGCCGGCGUGCUACUGAGUUCGGCCGGUCCGAGUCACUGUGCGUCGCCUGGGCCCGUUCCUGGUCUUCUCCCCCAGGGUCUUGCUCUGUCACCCAGGCUGGAGUGCCAUGGCAUCAUCAUAGCUCACUAUGGCCUUGAUCCUCCUGCCUUAGCCUCCCAAGCAGCUGGUAUUACAGACCACAGUGUGAACACAUGAAUAGAAGACGAAAAUUUCUUCUAGCCUCAGUACUUGCUCUCCAGAAUUCAAGUUUUAUAUAUCCAUCAUGUCAGAAGUGCUUCUCUAGGAUAAUCCUGGUCUCCAAAAGGUCUGAUUGUCCAAAAUGUGGCUCUACUGGUGAAUCUGGAAAUGCCAAUUACAGAUACAAACUUUCCUUAAAAGUUGCAGAAUCAAACAAAUUGUUUGUUAUUACUGUAUUUGGAAGUUGCUUAGAUACAUUUUUUGGUCUUACUGCCACUGGUUUGCACAGGUAA